CUGAUCGCUUUGGCAACACAGUCACAAAAACGCAAAUGAUAUAGAGAAGAUCAGCAUGGCCCCUGAGCAAAAAUGACACGCAAGUUCGAGAAGUGUUCCACGUUUUU